UCGAGAAAAGUUUGAAAUUACAGUUAGAACACAUAAUCUUGUAAAGGGAGCGGAGUCUUUACUUCAACUUAUAACUGAAAUUAAAAAUAUGAUUACUUUUCAAAAUUUUCAAGAAUUAAACAUGUUAGUCAAUGAGAGGCAGAAAAAGUUAGUAGAAGCAAAGAAGACCACGGAGGUAGUUUUACAGCAGAUGCUUGAGGACAUGAGCUCG